rnacentral:rRNA from 1 species
AUUGAACGCUGGCGGCAUGCUUUACACAUGCAAGUCGAACGGCAGCGCGGGCUUCGGCCUGGCGGCGAGUGGCGAACGGGUGAGUAAUACAUCGGAACGUGCCCAGUAGUGGGGGAUAGCUCGGCGAAAGCCGGAUUAAUACCGCAUACGACCUGAGGGUGAAAGCGGGGGAUCUUCGGACCUCGCGCUAUUGGAGCGGCCGAUGGCAGAUUAGCUAGUUGGUGGGGUAAAGGCCUACCAAGGCGACGAUCUGUAGCUGGUCUGAGAGGACGACCAGCCACACUGGGACUGAGACACGGCCCAGCCUCCUACGGGAGGCAGCAGUGGGGAAUUUUGGACAAAGGGCGAAAGCCUGAUCCAGCAAUGCCGCGUGUGUGAUGAAGGCCUUCGGGUUGUAAAGCACUUUUGGCGGGAACGAAAAGGACUGUGCCAAUACCACGGUUCGAUGACGGUACCCGCAGAAUAAGCACCGGCUAACUACGUG